AGUGAACGCUGGCGGUAGGCCUAACACAUGGAAGUCGAACGGCAGCACAGUAAGAGCUUGCUCUUACGGGUGGCGAGUGGCGGACGGGUGAGGAAUACAUCGGAAUCUACUUUUUCGUGGGGGAUAACGUAGGGAAACUUACGCUAAUACCGCAUACGACCUACGGGUGAAAGCAAGGGAUCUUCGGACCUUGCGCGAUUGAAUGAGCCGAUGUCGGAUUAGCUAGUUGGCGGGGUAAAGGCCCACCAAGGCGACGAUCCGUAGCUGGUCUGAGAGGAUGAUCAGCCACACUGGAACUGAGACACGGUCCAGACUCCUACGGGAGGCAGCAGUGGGGAAUAUUGGACAAUGGGCGCAAGCCUGAUCCAGCCAUACCGCGUGGGUGAAGAAGGCCUUCGGGUUGUAAAGCCCUUUUGUUGGGAAAGAAAAGCAGCAGGUUAAUACCCCGCUGUUCUGACGGUACCCAAAGAAUAAGCACCGGCUAACUUCGUG
rnacentral:rRNA from 1 species